GUCCUCGUAGCUCAGUGGAUAGAGCGUUGGCCUCCGGAGCCAAAGGCCGGAGGUUCGAAUCCUCCCGGGGACA
rnacentral:tRNA from 1 species